rnacentral:misc_RNA from 1 species
GAAAUGCGAUAAGUAAUGCGAAUUGCAGAAUCCGUGAGUCAUCGAAUCUUUGAACGCACAUUGCGCCCUCUGGUAACCCGGAGGGCAUGCCUGUUCGAGCGUCAUUUCAACCAUCAAGCCCCCGGGCUUGUGUUGGGGACCUGCGGCUGCCCGCAGGCCCUGAAAACCAGUGGCGGGCUCGCUGUCACACCGAGCGUAGUAGCAAUCACCUCGCUCAGGGCGUGCUGCGGGUUCCGGCCGUUAAACAGCCUUACAAAACCCAAGGUUGACCUCGGAUCAGGUAGGAAGACCCGCUGAACUUAAGC